GGAUCUAUAGCUUAAUAGUAAAGUAUCAUCUUGUCACGAUGGGGUAUGUCAGUGCAAGUCUGAUUGGAUUCG
rfam:Cyberlindnera fabianii strain 65 BON22_Sc21, whole genome shotgun sequence.